UCUGCCUCAGCAGGGAAGAGGCAACAAGUUUUCCACCUGUUCCAGCUUGAAACCUUGUUAAAUCAUUUGAGUUCACUGUUUCCUGAAAAUAUAUAUAAAUUAUGUAUAGUAAGAGUUUCCAAAGGAAAUAUCAUUAACAGUGUUAGCAGCUGAAACUAGAGGACCUCUUCCAUCUCACCAAGUACAGCCUCCUAGAACUUCAUUUUUUCCCCUCUGAAGCCCCAUUCCUCCUCUCAAAAGGAGCACACAGACCAAGGAUGUUAACACAGAGGAAAAAGCAGAAAACAGAAAGUAACACUCCAAGGAGGUGUAAUCAUGCAGGAAGUUUAACAUGAAAACCAACAAAGGAAACCCUUAUUGAUUUAUUCAACACUAUAAAGGUGUAACAGCAAAGCAAGAAGAUAUCCCUGAAGUGUCUUUUGAAGAUGUGCACUGCAUAGGAAAUGGAUUUUAAAGUGAAACUCUAGAAAAAAAUAAUUAAUUCAAAGUUUGUUCAUGAUACCUGAAACAAAAAUAUAUAAAUGAAGAGAAAGUGGGGGAGGAAAAGUUUAUGCAGGCAUUCCAGUGUAAAAGCUUCCUGCUGAGGAGAAAAUGAAGAAAUCAGAAAUGGUUAUAUCCACAAUCCAAAAUAGAAUUUCAUUAUGGUUUGUGAAUUUACAGAAGUUUAUAUCCUUGAAUCUCAACUGUAAAAAUUAAUGACUGACUUAAAAGUCCAGAGUCAUACUGCUAGAUUUCAGAUAUUUACCUUAAACCACUGCACAUGUCUGUUUGGCAAAUGUUUCUUCUACAGAGAAACAGAAGCUUCUUUAGAGGAAUUCAUCCCAUCCUGGGGUCUGGAGGUGCCUGGGUCUCCCCACUGCCUGCACAGGCUCCUUAGAGAGAGAAUAGAUCCAUGUUUUUCUACUUGUUUGAUACAGAGUAUUACUCUGGGUAAUAUUUUUUCAGAGUUCACACAUUAAGUCCCAGAAACAAAGACAUUGGCUGUGUAUUGGAAGCAAUCAUCUGACAAAGAAGGCAAAGUUUUUUCAUUUCAAGCCUUCAUAUAAAAGUUACUCAAACAGCUCGUAGAGAUCCAGACAGAUUAUUAAAAUCGCAUAUUUUCUAAUGCAAAUGGAGUCAUUGGAGAAACUUAUAAAGGGAAAAAAACCAUAAUGAGACUGGCAACCUUUGAAAUAAAACAUUUUGCUUUAUCUCUUUGGUUGGUGGUAAGAGUAGGUGGGUUAGAUAAGCAGUGAUUAUCAACCCCUGUGUGAUUACAACUCUACCAGUGUUUGAAUGGGAUGUGAUAGCACCAGUGAGGAGCAGCAAAACUGGAUUCCUACUCUGCUCAUCGUGGCAGAGAAGAGGUGGAUGCCAUCACCUGCAGGAAAGCUGGGAGCAGCACUGUGCUUCUGUUAGUGCCUGUGUUAAAUCUGGAGGAAGGAUGCAGAAACUGUUUUGGGUUUGAGAUGUUAAUGAGAUAGUUAAAUGGGAUGGGGCAUAAAUUAUCACUCUGCUUAAAAGAUCUUGUUUCUGGUGUGUAGAGGAAGAUUAAAUGAUCAAAGAGAGCUCAAUGAGAGCUAUGUGCCCAGAUUAGCUGCAGCAGGGUGCAUAUGCAAAAGGAAACGUGGUAGCCAAAGAGGGAGGUUUUUUACCUGUGUGCACAGCCGAGGUAGUGGAAACACUGUUUGAGAGAGUUUUGUUAAAAAAAUAAAAUAUCUAGAAAGAAGAAUUUCCAUCCAGGCUAAAAUCAAAAGCAUAUGGCUACUUGAAAUAAACCAUAAAGGCAGAGAGACCAGCUCUGGAAAACUAAUGAUGAACAGAGACAAGGGAACACAAGGACUUUGAAGGAAAUGAGUUUCAGCUCUACCUUUGGGCAUACAAUUGAUUCCUCACCAUAGUGGUGUGCCUAUCACCCUGUGCUAAUUGGCACCCUAAGGAGUCAAAUUAAAGAGGGAGGAGGUUUGUUCUGUCUUGCCUGGGAGCAGCGUCCCCAGAAUCAGAGCAGCAGGAUCAAGGCAGGCUGUGUACAAUGCCUGUUCUGUAACCUGUUUUGAAGAGCUACAAGAUACAUGUGGGACAGAAACCACUUCUGGAGUUCCCAUGAAUUGAUCCAAAAAAGAUAAUAUCUCUGCAUUGAGUCCUUGGUUCCCACACGACGUCACACUUGUUCUAUAUACAGUUAUGUCUCCAUGCAGGGAGCAGAAAGGAAAAGCUCAGCACCUGAGACUGGAAAAUGCAAGAGAAAUACAACAAAUGGCAAGUCCUGACACGAGGCGCUUGCGUGGUUCUGUGCAGAGAGGACAAGAGGAAAAGUCACAUUGCCCGGGAGCAGAGCAGCUGAUACCAUCGGUGUGUGCACAUCACCUCAUUAACACCAGCAGGCUCUUGCCAGGUGCUGUCUUGUUUCAGGGCUGGACACAACCCUGUCACCACGAUGCUAUUUUUAUCCCUAAACAGAAGAUUUCUGAAUUAGAAAGAACUUCAGCUGGCAAAAGGUAUCAAAUCCCUUUGAUUUCAGGAAGCACUCACAGCAGAUCUCCUGAUUCAGGUGCAACAAGCAACCCUGAUGCUUGUUU